rnacentral:rRNA from 1 species
GACGAACGCUGGCGGCGUGCUUAACACAUGCAAGUCGAACGGAAAGGCCCCCACCUUGGUGGGGGUGCUCGAGUGGCGAACGGGUGAGUAACACGUGGGUGAUCUGCCCUGUACUUCGGGAUAAGCUUGGGAAACUGGGUCUAAUACCGGAUAGGACCAUGGUUUAGUGUCUCAUGGUGGAAAAAUUAUUGUUUUGGUGCAGGAUGAGCUCGCGGCCUAUCAGCUUGUUGGUGGGGUAAUGGCCUACCAAGGCGUCGACGGGUAGCCGGCCUGAGAGGGUGGACGGCCACAUUGGGACUGAGAUACGGCCCAGACUCCUACGGGAGGCAGCAGUGGGGAAUAUUGCACAAUGGGCGCAAGCCUGAUGCAGCGACGCCGCGUGGGGGAUGACGGCCUUCGGGUUGUAAACUCCUUUCGCUAGGGACGAAGCCACACCUUUUUUGGGUGUGGUGACGGUACCUUUGUUAAGAAGCACCGGCUAACUACGUG